UUUUUAUUUUACGGCGUUCCGAGAGAAUGCACGGGGCACACAUUAUUAUUAUUAUCAUUAUACACGCGCGAGCAUUACAUAAUAUGUAUGGGUGCUUCUAAAAAUGCAUAGGUAUACAGAGUGAUUCUUUUAUUGCGAACCGAACGAUAUCUUAUGGCAAAUAUUGUCUGAUUUCCAAUAAACCAAAACAAAUCGUACUGUGUAUAAUAUUGCAGUCCAAGGUUUUCAUCUUCUCAUCUGACUUAAGCACAUGUUGCUUUUUACGACAAUUGGCCGCCGUUAUAAAAUCAUUGUUGAUGUGGAAAAAAUAAUAGCUUGGACGAUAAAACGUCUACAUUUAGUCUUGGAAAUGACAAACUUUGUUCGAGACACGAUCAACAUUGUAAGACUAUUACUCUAAUAAAACCGUGUUGGGUAGUGGGUACAGAGCUUGAUUUCGGAGCCUUGAAGAAAAUUACAGUACUCGUUAGAUAUAUUUAAUUAUGUGUACAUACUAUUCUCCUUCAA